CUACGGGCUGCACCAGUGAGGAAUUUUGCGCAAUGGGGGGAACCCUGACGCAGCAACGCCGCGUGAGUGAUGAAGGCUUUCGGGUCGUAAAGCUCUGUCAAGUGGGAAGAACCUAUGCAGUGUUAAUAUCACUGUAUACUGACGGUACCACUGAAGGAAGCACCGGCUAACUCCGUGCCAGCAGCCGCGGUAAUACGGGGGGUGCAAGCGUUAUUCAGAAUCAUUGGGCGUAAAGGGCACGUAGGCGGCUUGGUAAGUCAGAUGUGAAAGCCCGGGGCUUAACCCCGGAAGUGCAUUUGAUACUGUCAGGCUUGAGUAUGGGAGAGGGAAGUGGAAUUCCUGGUGUAGAGGUGAAAUUCGUAGAUAUCAGGAGGAACACCGGUGGCGAAGGCGACUUCCUGGACCAAUACUGACGCUGAGGUGCGAAGGCGUGGGUAGCAAACAGGAUUAGAUACCCGCGUAGUC
rnacentral:rRNA from 1 species